GAUGAACGCUAGCGGCAGGCCUAAUACAUGCAAGUCGAGGGGCAGCGGGAGUAGCAAUACUUGCCGGCGACCGGCGCACGGGUGCGUAACACGUAUACAAUCUGCCUUCUACUGGGGGAUAGCCUUUCGAAAGAGAGAUUAAUACCCCAUAAUAAAUUGAAUAGCAUUAUUUGAUUUUGAAAGAUCCGUCGGUAGAAGAUGAGUAUGCGUCUGAUUAGCUAGUUGGUGAGGUAAUGGCUCACCAAGGCUACGAUCAGUAGGGGAUCUGAGAGGACUACCCCCCACACUGGUACUGAGACACGGACCAGACUCCUACGGGAGGCAGCAGUAAGGAAUAUUGGACAAUGGAGGCAACUCUGAUCCAGCCAUGCCGCGUGCAGGAUGAAGGCCCUAUGGGUCGUAAACUGCUUUU
rnacentral:rRNA from 1 species